rnacentral:pre_miRNA from 1 species
AUGUACGACACCGUUAACUUUUCGUUCAAAGUUUGACCAUUCGUCUUAUUUAAAAAAUUUAUAAAAUUAUUAUUUAUUUUAUUGUGACUUGAUUCAUCAUCAAAUGUUCUUUAAGAAUGACAUAAAUAUUUUCAUAUUUUUAUAAAAAUUUUAAAUAAAACGAAUGGUCAAACGUUGGUCAAAAAGUCAACGGCGUCAUACAUU